rnacentral:rRNA from 1 species
AUGCCUCAGCCCCCUGAGCUCGCUGCCGUCGUCCGCCGCGCUAACAUCGAUUUGGCCACUUUGGGCAGCGACAGCUUCUGCCUCAGCGUGGAUUGCUGGAACGGGCUCCUCCUCCUCACCUCCUACCUGCACCACGGCCCUCCAAUAAGAACAGUCCGCUAUCCGUUGUACCCUGCGAGAUACACGACCAUCCUCCCGCCAGUUCCGCAAACCAGCAUCCAUCACGACGACUCCGCAUACUACGGCAGAGAGUUCAUCCUCAAAGGCGGCGACGACGGCCUGUCCUCCUUCUAUCUGGCACUGGGCGUGGAAGGGCAGCAGACCAUUGUGGAUGUGUAUGUCUUACAAGAUGAUAUCUGGGCCAUCUACUCUUCGGUUGCAAGUGAAUUCACUGGUAUUUCGCUACGACUCGAUCUUGCUAGUUUGGUUGGUGACGGCAAGAUCUAUACUCUGGCCUAUGUGGGCGGGAUUAAUAUGUUAAUCGUGCUAGAUCUUGUGUCCGCCUCUCUGUCGUUAGUUAACCUCCCAGAAGAGGAACUUCAAAUACGCAUCUGGCUCCACGGGGUGGAUGGCAAUAAUGGUGCUGCCAACUGGUUCCUUGUGAAUACCAUUUGUUUACGUGAGAUAUGUGCUAAUCAUAUGAUACCGAGUCAUGGCUUCAAGGAUGCAGAUGUACAUGCACCUGGGUUCAAUUCUGAGUUUAUUUUCAUCGAGGCGGACAAUGCCCUCUAUCUUUUUUAUAUUAAACGCAAGGUGUUAAAAAAGGUUUACGACGUGACAGAAGAGGAUGAUUACGUGUUUAGUGUCAGCCCCUUUAUGAUGGUUUGGCCUCCAAAAUUCCCUCUGAUGAAGGAAGGACGUGAUCUGAAAGAAUAA